rnacentral:misc_RNA from 2 species
AGACUCAACCAUGUCGGGUUUCCGACCGGGUUGGACUUGGACGUUGCCGGCGACGGCUCGUCUUAAAAGAGUUAGCGGACAAAGUGACCGAAAACGACGUGAUAAGUACUCGUCGCUAUUAGGACCUCUGAGCCCGCUCACAACCGCCCUCGGGCACCUUUUGA